rnacentral:rRNA from 1 species
UACGUAGGGGCCUAGCGUUGUCCGGAAUUAUUGGGCGUAAAGAGCUCGUAGGCGGUUCGGCAAGUCGGAUGUGAAAUCUCCACGCUUAACGUGGAGGGGCCAUUCGAAACUGCCGUGACUCGAGUCCGGUAGGGGAGAGUGGAAUUCCCGGUGUAGCGGUGAAAUGCGCAGAUAUCGGGAAGAACACCCGUGGCUAAGGCGGCUCUCUAGUACGGUACUGACGCUGAGACGCGAAAGCGUGGGGAGCGAACAGG